rnacentral:snoRNA from 1 species
UUUAACAGGGUAAGUCACACAGACUCUUAAUAAUAGAUUUUAGUGGCUGUGCUUCUGGGAUAGAUGAAAAUUGCCAUGAUCUGAAGAGGGAGGAUAUUUUCUGUGUGUCCUCCUCCUAUAUGAAAUUCCUGAACAGAAAAUU